AACGAACGCUGGCGGCGUGCUUAACACAUGCAAGUCGAGCGCACGGACGGACUUCGGUCCGCGAGUGAGCGGCGAACGGGUGAGUAACACGUGAAUAACGUACCCUUGGGUGUGGGAUAACCAUUCGAAAGGAUGGCUAAUACCGCAUAAGACCACAACGCCUCAUGGCGAAGGGGUCAAAGCUUUAUGCGCCCAAGGAUCGGUUCGCGGUCCAUUAGGUAGUUGGCGGGGUAAUGGCCCACCAAGCCGAAGAUGGAUAGCUGGUCUGAGAGGAUGAUCAGCCACACUGGGACUGAGACACGGCCCAGACUCCUGCGGGAGGCAGCAGUGGGGAAUAUUGCGCAAUGGGCGAAAGCCUGACGCAGCAACGCCGCGUGUGUGACGAAGGCCUGUGGGUCGUAAAGCACUGUUAGGAGGGAAGAAACAAAUGACGGUACCUCCAGAGAAAGCACCGGCUAACUCCG
rnacentral:rRNA from 1 species